GAGGAUAUAGCUCAGUGGUAGAGCAUUUGACUGCAGAUCGAGAGGUCCUCCGUUCAAACCCGGGUGUCCUAUUCU
rnacentral:tRNA from 1 species